GACGAACGCUGGCGGCGUGCCUAAUACAUGCAAGUCGAACGAACCGCGACUAGGUGCUUGCACUUGGUCAAGGUGAGUGGCGAACGGGUGAGUAACACGUGGGUAACCUACCUCAUAGUGGGGGAUAACAGUCGGAAACGACUGCUAAUACCGCAUAGGACAUAGGAUCACAUGAUCCAGUGAGCAAAGGUGGCGCAAGCUAUCGCUAAGUGAUGGACCCGCGGUGCAUUAGCUAGUUGGUAGGGUAAAGGCCUACCAAGGCGAUGAUGCAUAGCCGACCUGAGGGGGUGAUCGGCCACAUUGGAACUGAGACACGGCCCAAACUCCUACGGGAGGCAGCAGUGGGGAAUUUUCCGCAAUGGACGCAAGUCUGACGGAGCAACACCGCGUGAGUGAAGAAGGUCUUCGGAUCGUAAAGCUCUGUUGUUAGAGAAGAACAGCGCAUAGAGUAACUGUUAUGCGUGUGACGGUAUCUAACCAGAAAGCCACGGCUAACUACGUG
rnacentral:rRNA from 1 species